UUUGUAGCAAAUUUUUACAAUUCUUUGGUUUAAAUGACUUUGUGAGGGUUACCUAUACCGGAGUUGCCUUUUUGCUUUCUUUUAUUUUUUUGUUUUACUGGAUCAUUCACUUAUUUGCAUCGGUCCCCUACAUAGAGGAUGCGUAGGCCGGAGCUGACUGCUGAGAUAAACUACUGAGGACUUAUACGGAAAUGAUGAUUAAGGCCAUGAUAUAUGGGGUUUCGGGAGUGGUUCCUAUAUUUACGAAGUCUAUGGUGCUAAAAUAAUAAUGAUGUUUCGCAAAGUUCUCCCAAGUCACCGCAUCCUUACUCAAAACAUGUCUUUAAAACCUGAAAACUUUCGGAAUAAC
rnacentral:lncRNA from 1 species